rnacentral:rRNA from 1 species
CCUACGGGAGGCAGCAGUGAGGAAUAUUGGUCAAUGGACGAGAGUCUGAACCAGCCAAGUCGCGUGAGGGAUGAAUGCACUGUGGAUUGUAAACUUCUUUUAUCUGGGAAUAAAACAGGGUAUGCAUCUCCUCUUGUGUGUACCAUAUGAAUAAGGAUCGGCUAACUCCGUGCCAGCAGCCGCGGUAAUACGGAGGAUCCGAGCGUUAUCCGGAUUUAUUGGGUUUAACGGGAGCGGAGGUGGAUUGUUAAGUCAGUUGUGAAAGUUUGCGGCUCAACCGUAAAAUUGCAGUUGAAACUGGCAGUCUUGAGUACAGGAGAGGUGGGCGGAAGUCGUGGUGUAGCGGUGAAAUGCUUAGAUAUCACGAAGAACUCCGAUUGCGAAGGCAGCUCACUGGACUGCAACUGACACUGAUGCUCGAAAGUGUGGGUAUCAAACAGGAUUAGAUACCCCAGUAGUC